rnacentral:rRNA from 1 species
GGUGUUGCAUGGCUGUCGUCAGCUCGUGUCGUGAGAUGUUGGGUUAAGUCCCGCAACGAGCGCAACCCUCAUCCUUAGUUACCAUCAGGUAAUGCUGGGGACUUUAAGGAAACUGCCAGUGAUAAACUGGAGGAAGGUGGGGAUGAUGUCAAGUCAUCAUGGCCCUUAUGGAGUGGGCUACACACGUGCUACAAUGGUGGCUACAAUGGGCUGCAAAGUCGCGAGGCUAAGCUAAUCCCUUAAAAGCCAUCUCAGUUCGGAUUGCACUCUGCAACUCGAGUGCAUGAAGUUGGAAUCGCUAGUAAUCGUGGAUCAGCACGCCACGGUGAAUACGUUCCCGGGUCUUGUACACAC